GGCUAACUCCGUGCCAGCAGCCGCGGUAAUACGGGGGGUGCAAGCGUUACUCGGAAUCACUGGGCGUAAAGGACGCGUAGGCGGAUUAUCAAGUCUUUUGUGAAAUCUAGUGGCUUAACCACUAAACUGCUUAGGAAACUGAUAGUCUAGAGUAGGGGAGAGGUAGAUGGAAUUCUUGGUGUAGGGGUAAAAUCCGUAGAGAUCAAGAAGAAUACCCAUUGCGAAAGCGAUCUGCUGGAACCUAACUGACGCUGAGGCGUGAAAGCGUGGGUAGCAAACAGGAUUAGAUACCCUGGUAGUCCACGCCCUAAACGAUGUAUACUAGUUGUUGCUUUGCUAGUCAAGGCAGUAAUGCAGCUAACGCAUUAAGUAUACCGCCUGGGGAGUACGGUCGCAAGAUUAAAACUCAAAGGAAUAGACGGGGACCCGCACAAGCGGUGGAGCAUGUGGUUUAAUUCGAAGAUACGCGAAGAACCUUACCUGGACUUGACAUCCUAAAAACAUCUAAGAGAUUAGAAAGUGCUAGUUUACUAGAAUUUAGUGACAGGUGCUGCACGGCUGUCGUCAGCUCGUGUCGUGAGAUGUUGGGUUAAGUCCCGCAACGAGCGCAACCCACGUGUUUAGUUGCUAACAGCUCGGCUGAGCACUCUAAACAGAC
rnacentral:rRNA from 1 species